AGAUCUCUACCCUUAUCUCGCUUUCUAUCUUGCAAAUUUGAUUCCAAGAUCACAUCCUCACAUUUUCGGUUGAUAACUGUGCAAUCAAAUCCCAAUUGCUUGUUCCGUAGAUUUCCUGAUUCCCCUGCAUGACGGAAAGAGGAAGCUGUCGUAAGCUGGCGUAUUUAUAUGGGAGGUUCGAGUACUGUGGUGCUGAAGAUAAACACGCCUUGAGACAGAUUUUCGUUAUGCGGCUCAGCAUUGCUAUUUGAAUUGUUUCACCGAAUACACAGUUCGGCAAGGUAAACCUGUUAAAUUCUGGUUAUUACGAACUCAUGAACUGCCGUGUGAAGCCGACUAUGCGGAGCUCAGCGACGCGCCACCGGGUGCAGCAUAUAUUGCGAAUUAAUAUGACGCUGUCGAUCCUUUGAAUGCUUCGGUAGAGCAUACUAUAACCUGUGCAUUGUGUUCAGGAUGGUUGGUUCUCGCUUGCGAACAUGCUCAGUACGAAGCAAACAACUGCGGUGUACCCGAAAUUGAGGGCCGCGACGAAACUGGAACUGUUGAUUAAAUCCGCAUCGAUGUGUAAAAACUUCACAGUUUGUGUAUAUAUCUGAUAUGUACAUAUUGCAAUAUGUGUACGUGUGUGCGCAUAUUUAGUUCCUCUUUGACACAAACCUCUUUCGCAGAAGCGGGGGAUGAGUAAGCUCAGUGAAGCAUCUGGAAUAGGAGAUCCGAACCUGGGUAGCACAGAGUCAUCAGAAGUCGCACCAGUUGUCGAAAUUAAUACUCCACGCUGGUUUUUUCAGCGACAAGUCCUUCGCAUGGACACAUACAACUCCUUGUUUCGUCUCUUUCAGACAACCUAAGCU
rnacentral:lncRNA from 1 species